GAUGAACGCUGGCGGCGUGCCUAAUACAUGCAAGUCGAGCGAACGGACGAGAAGCUUGCUUCUCUGAUGUUAGCGGCGGACGGGUGAGUAACACGUGGAUAACCUACCUAUAAGACUGGGAUAACUUCGGGAAACCGGAGCUAAUACCGGAUAAUAUUUUGAACCGCAUGGUUCAAAAGUGAAAGACGGUCUUGCUGUCACUUAUAGAUGGAUCCGCGCUGCAUUGGCUAGUUGGUAAGGUAACGGCUUACCAAGGCAACGAUGCAUAGCCGACCUGAGAGGGUGAUCGGCCACACUGGAACUGAGACACGGUCCAGACUCCUACGGGAGGCAGCAGUAGGGAAUCUUCCGCAAUGGGCGAAAGCCUGACGGAGCAACGCCGCGUGAGUGAUGAAGGUCUUCGGAUCGUAAAACUCUGCUAUUAGGGAAGAACAUAUGUGUAAGUAACUGUGCACAUCUUGACGGUACCUAAUCAGAAAGCCACGGCUAACUACGUG
rnacentral:rRNA from 1 species